rnacentral:rRNA from 1 species
CCUACGGGGGGCAGCAGUAAGGAAUAUUGGUCAAUGGACGAAAGUCUGAACCAGCCAUCCCGCGUGCAGGAUGAAAGCCCUAUGGGUUGUAAACUGCUUUUAGCAGAGAAGAAAAGCUUUCAUUAAUGAGAGUCUGACGGUAUCUGCAGAAUAAGCACCGGCUAACUCCGUGCCAGCAGCCGCGGUAAUACGGAGGGUGCGAGCGUUAUCCGGAUUUACUGGGUCUAAAGCGUGGGUAUACGGCAUAUGAGAGAUCUUGUAGAUUAACGAUAGAAUUGCCAAUGAUACUGGUACUCUUGAAUUGGGUUGAGGUUAGCGGAAUGUGACAUGUAGCGGUGAAAUGCAUAGAUAUGUCAUGGAACACCAAUUGCGAAGGCAGCUAACUGGGCCUUGAUUGACGCUGAGGCACGAAAGCGUGGGUAGCGAACAGGAUUAGAUACCCCGGUAGUC